rnacentral:tRNA from 1 species
GAGGGUGUAACUCAGUGGUAGAGUGCAUGCUUAGCAUGCAUGAGGUCAUGGGUUCAAUCCCCAGUACUUCCA